GACUACAUCUCCAUGCGUGCCCCGCGGCCCGCUCACCCGCCCCGGACUCCGUCUCCCGGGCUGCGCCGCGCCCGGCCCGGUGCUGCGGGUCACACAGCCCUGCGGAUGCCGGCGGCGGGGCGCGGCCGGGCCGAACCGGGCCUUCCGCGGCAGCGGGAGUCCCGGGCGCCCCGCCGGCUGCCGGCGCACCCCGCCGCCCCUCCCGCGGCGGCUCGCCCGGCGGCGCUGGCCCUCGUCAUCCUCCUCAGCUUCGCGUCCCGCUUCCACCGCCUGGCGGAGCCGCCGCACGUCUGUUGGGAUGAAACUCAUUUUGGGAAGAUGGGAAGUUACUACAUAAAUCGGACCUUCUUCUUUGAUGUCCACCCCCCUUUGGGGAAGAUGCUGAUUGGACUCGCUGGCUACCUUAGUGGAUAUGAUGGUACAUUUCCUUUCCAAAAGCCAGGGGACAGAUAUGAGCAGCACAACUAUGUGGGAAUGAGAGGGUUCUGUGCUUUCCUUGGCUCCUGCCUGGUUCCGUUGGCCUACCUCACAGUGUUAGAACUGUCAAAGUCACUGCCAGCAGCCUUACUCACAGCUUUCAUCCUUAUUUUUGAUACAGGCUGUAUUACUUUGUCUCAAUAUAUUCUGCUGGAUCCCAUUCUGAUGUUCUUCCUCAUGGGAGCUGUUCUGAGUAUGGUGAAAUGUAACAGCUGUGCGGAUAGGCCAUUUUCUGCCUCCUGGUGGUUCUGGAUGAGUCUCACUGGCGUGAACCUUGCUGGAGCAAUGGGGGUAAAGUUUGUGGGCCUUUUUGUAGUCCUCUUGGUUGGCCUGAACACAAUGUAUGACCUAUGGGACUUGCUGGGGAACCUCAGCCUGUCACUGGUCAUGUUUGGGAAGCAUUUACUGGCUCGUGUACUCUGCCUCAUCCUGCUCCCGCUUGCCCUCUACACGGCUAUGUUUGCUGUUCAUUUUACAGUAUUAAAUAAAAGUGGUCCUGGGGAUGGUUUUUUCAGUUCAGCAUUUCAGUCCCAGCUGAUUGGGAACAAUCUUCAUAACAUCUCCGUUCCAGAGCAUGUGGCAUAUGGAUCUGUGGUCACGAUGAAGAACCUCCGGAUGGCAGGGGGAUACCUUCACUCCCACUGGCACCUCUACCCAGAGGGCAUUGGGGCUCGCCAGCAGCAGGUCACUGCCUACUUACAUAAAGAUUUGAAUAACCUCUGGAUUAUAAAGAAACAUGAUUCAGACACAGCAGAUCCGUCAGACCCCUCGAUCCCUGUGGAGUUUGUGAGGCAUGGAGAUAUUAUUCGUCUGGAACAUAAAGAAACUUCUAGAAAUCUUCACAGUCACCAGCAUGAGGCUCCCCUGACAAGGAAGCAUUUUCAGGUCACUGCUUAUGGAAUAAACGGAACAGGAGACUCCAAUGAUUUUUGGCGGAUUGAAGUGGUGGGCAGACAGGCUGGGAAGCUCAUCAGAGUACUACGGGGUCAAGUCCGGCUAACCCAUGUGGCCACAGGAUGUAUGUUGGGCUCUUCUGGAAAGAUUCUGCCAAAAUGGGGUUGGGAACAAUUGGAAGUCACCUGCACGCCAUACCUGAAGGAGACUCCCAAUUCCCUCUGGAACUUUGAAGAUCAUAUUAACCCUAAGUUGCCCAAUAUCAGCCUGGAUGUUUUGAAGCCCUCUUUUGCAGAAAUUCUGCUAGAAUCCCAUAUGGUUAUGAUCCAGGGAAAUACUGCCCUCAAACCAAAGGACAAUGAAGUUACAUCCAAACCUUGGCACUGGCCCAUCAAUUACCAGGGCCUGCGUUUUUCUGGUGUAAAUGAGACCGAUUAUCGGGUUUAUUUGCUGGGAAACCCGGUGAUUUGGUGGCUAAACCUGGUCACUAUUGGACUAUAUCUUCUCAUAACAGUUUCCGCUGCAGUGGCCCUGAAGAGAGGUGUCCAGCUAACAUCUGAACUCAAAGACCUGUCCAGAGUUGUGCUACGUGGUGGAGGGCAGAUCAUGCUGGGCUGGCUCCUUCAUUACCUCCCUUUUUUUAUGAUGGGGCGAGUUCUCUACUUUCACCACUACUUCCCUGCUAUGCUGUUUUCCAGCAUGUUGACAGGAAUCACCUGGGACACACUACUGAAGUUCUGUGCUAUGUUCUUGUCACCCAGCGCUACAGCUAGAAAAGUAUACGGAGCAGGGUUCCUGGCACUGGUUCUGCUCAUCAUUUACAGCUUCUACCUCUUCCAUCCUCUGUCCUACGGGAUUAUAGGACCCAUGGCCUCUGAUCCUAGCAGCCCCAUGGCAGGGCUCCGGUGGAUGGACUCCUGGGAGUUCUAGAGCCAGCAAAGGGAGUCUGGGAACAGCGAAUGGGAAGCAUGAGAUCUGCUGCGUGUCAGGCUGAUUCUGGUGCUUUGGAGAUAUGAGACAGUAAAAUUCCCUCUCUGGAGAACCCUGUUGCUUUGGCAUUUGUUUGCACUGCCUGCAUUGGAAGAUGCAGAGGAUGACUGUGAGAAGGUCCUCUUAAAAAGACUCAUGUCCUGAAUCCUUAGGUUAUAUUCCUGGACAACUGGCUGCUUAAAUCUCAAUUCUUUUGAGCAAUAUCUAUCAGUCAAACAGCAGUGGCAUUCUAGCAGUCAGACCAGCACAAGUUGGAGGCUGUGUGUAGUUGCAUGAUUGUGUAUGCGUGUGUGUCUACCUUGUAAUCUAAGCACUGUUACAGAGAGACGGUGUCUGGGACAUUAGGAUUUUUACGAUUAACAAUCUUUUUUGACAGCGAGAUUUUUGAAAGCUUCCUUUAAGUAUCUGGGGACCAAUAUUCUUCCCUGCCCUGCUGUCUGUGUUUUUUGUUGUGACCCUGAAUUUUUAAAAUUUGACUGAAGGGGGUCUGCUUGAAACCCCCUGAGCCACUGUGCCUUGCCUGUCUCCCAGGCCCUCUGCAGACAGAGGAAAUGGAGAUAGUUUAUCCCUGUAUACUGCCUUGCUUUUUUGUCACUUUUAAUCAUUUCAUAAUAACCACCUAACAGGCCUGUGCUCAGGGCCACACUGUUCCAGCUCAGCACUUUGUAGCUUCUUCGAAAUUCUGUCUGAAACUGCCAAGGAAAUUGCAGUGGGAAUAGCAGGUAAUUUAUUUUCUGCCCCAGCAUGCUGUGAAGGUCGGACUCCUGGGGGUGUAGUAGAGUCUGAAAUGAUAGCUUGAAAUUUUACAUCAGCUGUCAUUCAUCUUUUGAUCCCAGCUAUUCCAGUGCCAGUACCUGUGCUUUUAGGGGAAAGGCUUCACCUUAAUGAAUGUGGCAUCUGCAUAACUGUCUGUCAGCCCAGUCUGUGGCCAGUAGUGCUAUAGUAUCUGCUCGCUGUAUUCCAAUAUUGAGCAAGUUCCCUCUCAUAGAUGGCUGAACAUCAGAUUACUCUAUUGAAGGAAAGGCGAGGCCAGGCAAAAAUUCUUUGUCAGUUAGGUGUCAAAAGCCAUUGGAUAUUGAAUCCACCCCUUCCAAGAAAGCAGAAUUCUGUUUAUCAUGUGCCUUUCUUCUGUGUUAAGUCCAUUUUUGUAAAUGUUCGUUUUAUUCCAUCUCCUACUCUUUACCCCUUUUUAAUUUCUUGUCAGUUCAGGGUUGCUACCUUGUAGCAUCCAACAUGAAUGACACUUAGACUCCAGCUGUAUUCCUGUCUCAAGUAACAUUUGCAAACCUCUUUUGUGUAUGUUUCAAUGAACUCAAGCCUUUCAUUUCUUGCUCUGCUUCUCAGCCUUGCAUCAAAAUUACAGGUACAGGGAGAGCAGCAGGUGAGUGUGUCUGUCUUUAAGCAUGAAUUGUGCAUUCACUUCUCUUACCAAAUCUUGAAUUCUAAUGUAUUUCUUACAACACAGAAGGGCAGCAUUAGCAUAGUGUUCUGUGUGGGGGACUGAGGCUCCAGUCAGACUUGCUUUCAUUCCUCUUUAACAGAGAUCCAGAGCAUUGUUCAGUAAGGCAGCUGCUUGCUGUUAUAAGGCUCUGGCUUGGUAUGUCACAUCUCUCUCCAGAAGCUGACUCCUAUAGACAAUAACUCAGAUGGUAUAGACCAAUGCCUCUGAUUCUAAAGGUUUAAUGUUAAUCACCUGCUGGUAAUACAUGGUGGGAAGUCAUUGCACUAAUUUGCUACUGGGUUUGAUGAUUUUUUUCCGGUUGCUAUUGCAAGUGCUCCCACUGCAUAAGCCAGGGGUUCACAGAGGUGAUGUAUAUGCAAGAAGGAUGAGGGAGAAGGCUGCAAACUUGUUCACAUCCUGCUUGAUCUGACAGCAGCUGUGAAUUGUUACCUGUUGGCAAUGUGGCUGGCAGACAGUGCAGUGCUGGCAUUGUAGCAAUGUGAUUUGGCAACUUCUACUCUUGGUGAGAUUAUCGGCUUAAUACCUUGCAAUCCUGAAUAUGAGCUUUCCCUAAGGUAGUCCCAUUGCUGUGGGGAGGAUUUGCCAGAAGACCUGAUAAAAGCCAUGAUUUAAGGUGCAGGGUUUUUUCCAGCGCAUACAAUCACAUGCUUGCCCUUAUCAUUAACAGCAAAAAAUCCCUAAGAAACUUGUUAUUUUGGAAUGACAGUUUCUAACAUUAUUCAUCAAAUUAAAUCUGUGGGAAAGCAAAAGUUGACUUGGUAACCUUGGUUACUUGGGUUAUUAUGAAGGGGUCAGCUUUGUAGGAGAGCUGCCUGAGGAAGAUGAGCCAGUGUGUUCCAAGGUCCCUCUGUCCUUUAUUACUAAUAAAUAAUCUUUUGGGUGGAGAUUGGCAGCUGAGUUUGGGGAUUGGACAGCUGAAGGUGGCAAGUGUCAUGCUCCCAUCCCACCUUCCUGUGUACAAGCCCAGCUUCCAGGUUUAUUUUUCUUUAGGACUGCCAUUUCAAAAAUCCUAUGAGAGCACUUGGUGGGUGUUGAGAUUAAUCUGUUUCUUAGGCUGUGUGUGCUGGUAAGGAGAUGGAGGCAUACAGUGAAGAAAAAUCUAGCUAUUCCACAAGAGGGAGCAACCUCCAGCUCAAGCUUUUUUUUUUUUUUUUUUCCUGGUGGGUUUGGGGGUUUUGUUUGUUUGUUUGUGUUUGUUUGUUUAUUUUGGUUUGGUUAUUUGUUUUUUGUUCUUUUUUUUUUAAAUUAAUUUGAUCUGGCGUUAGAAGUACUCAAAGGUCUACAUUUGAAAACGAGAGGGCAGACAUUUCCUCUGCACCCUCUGGACUCCAAGGGUUGUGUUUUCAAAAAGUAAGUGUAAAUUGAUGUUGCUCUGUUUUCUCUCAGGAGAAAAAUAUUGAAAAAUUAUUUUAGUUAGAAUUUGACCUUCAGUCUUUGAUUCUCAAACCCUGUCAGGUGAUAGCUGCAAUAUUGUGGUAACAAGUAUUUUGUGAGGUCAACAAAGUACAAUAAUUGGGAUUCUCUUACUGACUCUGAAUUAAACUGAGUGGUGCAGAUGUGAGGCAAUGGGUGCAGGGCAGUCUGCUUUCUGAAUGGAAUUUGGGCUGCUUCAGUUCAGUUUUUCCAUUUGUGCUUGUGGAAUGACUUAAGGUUAAUUUUGAGGACUGCUUAUUAGUCCUUUUCCCCAGCCAUGUGGAAAAUAGCUACGGGUGCUUUCUGAGGCCAGAAGAUGCUGUUCUCUGAAGCAGCUGCUCUCUUUGAACUUUGCUUGACAGGGCUCCUUUUAUCACUGGUAAAGUGUUUCAUCAAACUGUAUCUGUGGAUACAAAUCACAAAAAGCUGCAGGCUGCCACGCUCCCUGUUUCAAAUUCUUUUUUAUAUGUAAACUCUAUUUUCACCUUUUUGGUCUUUGGAGGAUAGAUAGAAGGCCUUUGGGCUCAUCUAGCUUCAUCCUACACAAUCCAUCCAUCUUAAAAGGCUCCUGUUAACUGUCGCUUCAGGACACCAGUGUGCACACACCUAUUCCAGCAGCAGGGGCUGGCGUGUUUCCAGGAACUGGACUACUCAUGCUAUGAGACAGAGUCGUGACUGUAAGGAAGACUUGAACAGCGAUUCCUGUGCUGAGGUUGCCCUUGGUCCAGGUGGAGGACUUCAUGUCAUGCAUUGCUUACCAGCAUUGUUACAGCCCUGUGGGUGAGAGAGCCACCACCACUCUCUUGUCUGCAGUUUUCAUUUUCCAUGUUGAUUGGGAGGGCUUAUUGAUACAUAAAGGGCACUGACCGGACCUGCUUUUUAUUUCGCUCUCCUUCCUUCUGCUUCUUCAAGUAUGCCCAAAGUACAGGACAUGUCUUUGCUUCUCCUCCAGUUUUCAGGCUGUGCAUCCAUUUCUUACAGGUGUCUGAACAAGGGGUGGGACAGGACACCUCAUAGUGUCCUGAGUGGGUGAAUACCUGACACAUGCACUGAGAGUAAAACUAGAAUCUUGUUAUGGAAAGGUAAACAAAUGUGUUAUUUGAUAGUUCCCUCCUGUAUCAGUCUGAGAAUCAUUUUCAAGGGACUCGAGAGUGAACCAGCUGUCAGCAUGGAAACACAGGCAUUUACCUGAAAUUCUCUAUUGCCAUGCUUAGUGGCUUCCCUUCCAGAGGCCACGCCUGCAUGAUUUACCCUCUGGGUUGGCACUCUGCACCCAACUACCAAUAUAACACUGUUUCUUCCUCUCAGGAUACUGCUGGCAAUGUGAAAAUCUUCUUAGUGGUGCCCUGUGCCUCUGCCAGCUGGGGAAUAUAGGUUUGAAGUAACAACAUGAACUUUAAACAGACCUGUUAGAAAGUUUGAUCUAGGACAGCGGUGAUCUACAUCAGCUUUUAGCACACAAAUGUUGCUGGACUUCAAUUCUAGGAGGUCAGGUUUUACUGCAGUUGAAGUGAUACACUGAUAAGUGCAGCAGGAAGUGAAACUGGUACGUUUGGAUGAGAAUAAAGCACUGUGUUGAAGGUGGUUUAUUUUUCCAUGUUAAAGAUGGGUUAAAUAGUAAUUAUGUAUAAUGUGUUGGGUUUAAUGGGUGUAUUCAUCAAGCUUCUGGUAGGUUGCCUAUGAACAUUUCAUUUGACAGAUCAAGCACUCUAUUCAGGAACUCAGCAUUUUCCUGUAUGUCAUUCUUAUUUUGAGUGUGUAAUGUCCAUAACAUCAGAUGGAUGCACAAUGUUAUAUAAAUGAAGCCCUUGCUGUGAACUGAAUGUGAGAGUUUUUAAUAAAGCUGACUACUGUAAAUCAGAAUCUGCUCUAUGCCAGGCUGUAGUGACAGGGCAGCAUAUACUUUUGAGUACAGUGUAACAAGGGAUUGCCAUCCUUGGGGUGAAACUAGAUGGGGAAAAACAAACUACCUUCUUGUUUGGGGCUACGCAUUGAUGUCCAGAUCAGUGGUGGAGGAGAGCCAGCCAGUCUGUUUAAACAUAUUCCAAGGGCUGCUAAAGUAAACCCAGGACAGCUAGAAAUUGGACUAUGGCCUGCACUAGAUGAUACAAUAGGCUGAUAGAUGGUUACUGAAAAGCCUAUUAACAUCUUGUACUGCUUCAGAAAGUGCAAGUUGGUCUUUGGAUAUUGUCUGAUCAGGGCUGUCCUUCUGGAAGGAAGAAUUGCUGAUGCAGAAGCUGUGCUAGAGUGUAGGGAGGCAACCAUAAACAAAAAGCAUGAAGUAUUGUUCAGAAAAUGGUGAUAGUAUCUGAAGUAAAGCUUUUCACUGCCCUCUAAAAGAAGAAAUGCUUCCUUCCGCAGGUAAGUGAUCUCUUGUGGGUGGACGCUGGUGACUGGUUCCAUUUGCAUUUGUUUUGAACCUGCCAGGUUUCUAGGCUUCUAAAUUCCAGCUAUCAUCGUGCUACAUGUUCCUCAACAAGAAUGAGGCUUUUUUAUAACCUGGUGUUUUAAUACAGAUUUUGUGCUCUGACUUCAAGCUGCUGCUUAAUCUUCUUUCUGCUAACCACAUAGAAACUUUAUAUGCAAGUUGCUUUCUCUAGCCCCCAGUCUCCUGUGCCUCUUUUCUCAUUCUGUUCACUUUACCCAUAUGGUUUCCCAAAUUGUACACUGUCCUCCAACAUUAGUCUCCCCAAUUCCAUAUGCUGAAAUAAAUGUUCAUUGCUCCAA